rnacentral:lncRNA from 1 species
AUAUAGCAAUCCCCCUUAAUCUUGAGGAAUACAUUCCAAGACCCCCAGAGGCUGCCUGAAACAGCUGAUAGUACUAAAACCUAUAUAUGCUCUGUCUUUUCCUAUACAUACACACUGAUGAUUAAAUUUAGUUUAUCAGUUAGGUACAGUAUGAGAUUAACAGCAAUAGCUAAUAAUAAAAUAGAACAAUUAUAACAAUAUAAUGUAACAAAAAUUGUGUGAAAGUAAUUUCCCUCUUUCUUUCAAAAUAUCUUAUUGUAUUGUGCUCACCUAUUUUUGGACUGCAUUCGAGUGUAGGUAACUGAAACAGAGGAAAGCGAAACCAUGGAUAAGUGGAGACUGUUGCAUUUAUUCCAGGGAGCUGUGUUAGGAGAAGGGAGUAUGAUAUAUAAAUUAUGCAUUCCGUGUUCACUUAUUGUUCUAGGGCCUUCAACCUUUCCUAGUCCUGGAACGGCAGAGGUGUGCUCUUUGGAUUAGAAAGCUGUGCGAACCUUCAGGAACAGGUGCAGGAAUAAUGGGGAGGAAGAAUCGGAACCUGUAUGCAAAAUUGUUAUUG